rnacentral:lncRNA from 1 species
AAUAUUUUAAAAUUUGAAAAUAAUUAAAAAAAACCUACAAUAUGUAGUUGUCCACGUCACAAUCACCUGCUGGUGGUGUUGGAGCUGCGUUGGGGGCUAAGAGUUCAUAGCUGCUGUGGCGGUGGGGCUGGGAGGUCUUAGCUGCUAUAGCGGGGGGCUGGGAGGUCAUUGUUGGAGUUGGUUCAACCUUGAGGAACCGAAUGCCAGAGAUUUGAAGGGCGAGACAAAUUUGGUUCAUCAAACUGCUUUGGGUCGCAAAUUGAGACUGUUGGACGACAGUCUGCUCCUUUAGGUUUGCCACUUCAGAUGUCAGCAAUUUGACCUCUUCUGUUCUCUGCCUGGAGGAGGAGGCAAACGAGUCCCGAAGGCGGGCUUUCCUAAGCCCCCUGUGAACAUUCCCUUGCUUAUGACAUAGGGUCUGAUCGAGUGUGUCCAUUAUGAUCUAAAAACCCGCAUCCUUAGGAGGAAACAGCUCCUCGAUUGGGGUCUCUAGGGGAAGCUAGGAAAUAACCUCAUCCAGAACAGUCUAGCCCUUCUCCACCAUGAAGGACUAGAAAAAUGAAAACAAACAAAUUAAUUUUAAUAU